rnacentral:rRNA from 1 species
AUUGAACGCUGGCGGCAUGCUUUACACAUGCAAGUCGAACGGUAACAGGCCGCAAGGUGCUGACGAGUGGCGAACGGGUGAGUAAUGCAUCGGAACGUGCCCAGUCGUGGGGGAUAACGCAGCGAAAGUUGCGCUAAUUCCGCAUACGAUCUAUGGAUGAAAGCGGGGGACCGUAAGGCCUCGCGCGAUUGGAGCGGCCGAUGUCAGAUUAGGCAGGUGGUGGGGUAAAGGCUCACCAAGCCGACGAUCUGUAGCUGGUCUGAGAGGACGACCAGCCACACUGGGACUGAGACACGGCCCAGACUCCUACGGGAGGCAGCAGUGGGGAAUGUUGGACAAUGGGGGCAAGCCUGAUCCAGCAAUGCCGCGUGCAGGAAGAAGGCCUUCGGGUUGUAAACUGCUUUUGUACGGAACGAAACGGUCCUGGUUAAUACCCGGGGCUAAUGACGGUACCGUAAGAAUAAGCACCGGCUAACUACGUGCCAGCAGCCGCCGUAAGAC